rnacentral:tRNA from 1 species
GAAGGCACAGCUCAGGGGUAGAGUGUGUGCUUAGCAUGCACGAGGUCCUGGGUUCCAUCCCCAGCACCUCCA